UACGGCCAAAUCACAUUGAAACACCAGUUUGCAUCCAAUCACCAAAGUUAAGCAACAUCAAGUCUUGUCAGUAUCUAGAUGGGUGACUGCUUGGGAACACCAGGUGCUGUAA